AGAGUUUGAUCCUGGCUCAGAACGAACGCUGGCGGCGUGGAUAAGACAUGCAAGUCGAACGAGAGAAUUGCUAGCUUGCUAAUAAUUCUCUAGUGGCGCACGGGUGAGUAACACGUGAGUAACCUGCCCCCGAGAGCGGGAUAGCCCUGGGAAACUGGGAUUAAUACCGCAUAGUAUCGAAAGAUUAAAGCAGCAAUGCGCUUGGGGAUGGGCUCGCGGCCUAUUAGUUAGUUGGUGAGGUAACGGCUCACCAAGGCGAUGACGGGUAGCCGGUCUGAGAGGAUGUCCGGCCACACUGGAACUGAGACACGGUCCAGACACCUACGGGUGGCAGCAGUCGAGAAUCAUUCACAAUGGGGGAAACCCUGAUGGUGCGACGCCGCGUGGGGGAAUGAAGGUCUUCGGAUUGUAAACCCCUGUCAUGUGGGAGCAAAUUAAAAAGAUAGUACCACAAGAGGAAGAGACGGCUAACUCUGUGCCAGCAGCCGCGGUAAUACAGAGGUCUCAAGCGUUGUUCGGAAUCACUGGGCGUAAAGCGUGCGUAGGCUGUUUCGUAAGUCGUGUGUGAAAGGCGCGGGCUCAACCCGCGGACGGCACAUGAUACUGCGAGACUAGAGUAAUGGAGGGGGAACCGGAAUUCUCGGUGUAGCAGUGAAAUGCGUAGAUAUCGAGAGGAACACUCGUGGCGAAGGCGGGUUCCUGGACAUUAACUGACGCUGAGGCACGAAGGCCAGGGGAGCGAAAGGGAUUAGAUACCCCUGUAGUCCUGGCAGUAAACGGUGCACGCUUGGUGUGCGGGGAAUCGACCCCCUGCGUGCCGGAGCUAACGCGUUAAGCGUGCCGCCUGGGGAGUACGGUCGCAAGAUUAAAACUCAAAGAAAUUGACGGGGACCCGCACAAGCGGUGGAGUAUGUGGCUUAAUUCGAUGCAACGCGAAGAACCUUACCUGGGCUUGACAUGUAAUGAACAACAUGUGAAAGCAUGCGACUCUUCGGAGGCGUUACACAGGUGCUGCAUGGCCGUCGUCAGCUCGUGUCGUGAGAUGUUUGGUUAAGUCCAGCAACGAGCGCAACCCCUGUUGCCAGUUACCAGCACGUGAAGGUGGGGACUCUGGCGAGACUGCCCAGAUCAACUGGGAGGAAGGUGGGGACGACGUCAGGUCAGUAUGGCCCUUAUGCCCAGGGCUGCACACGUACUACAAUGCCCAGUACAGAGGGGGCCGAAGCCGCGAGGCGGAGGAAAUCCUAAAAACUGGGCCCAGUUCGGACUGUAGGCUGCAACCCGCCUACACGAAGCCGGAAUCGCUAGUAAUGGCGCACCAGCUACGGCGCCGUGAAUACGUUCCCGGGUCUUGCACACACCGCCCGUCA
rnacentral:rRNA from 1 species